UUCAACCCCGCCUCCUCAUUCACCUCCUCCAUCCCCGGUUCCUUGUAUAGAACCCCCACCCCCACCUCCUCCUUGUAUAGAACCACCUCCAUCACCUCCCCCACCAGUUUAUUACUAUAAUUCUCCGCCUCCACCACCGCCUUCACCAUCACCUCCCCCACCGGUGUAUUAUAGUUCUCCGCCCCCACCAUCACCAUCACCUCCGCCACCGGCACUGCCCCCACCAUCACCUCCACCACCAGUUUAUUAUUAUAAUUCACCACCCCCGCCGUCU
rnacentral:lncRNA from 1 species